AUUGAACGCUGGCGGCAUGCCUUACACAUGCAAGUCGAACGGCAGCACGGGUGCUUGCACCUGGUGGCGAGUGGCGAACGGGUGAGUAAUACAUCGGAACGUACCUUAUCGUGGGGGAUAACGCAGCGAAAGCUGUGCUAAUACCGCAUACGCCCUGAGGGGGAAAGCGGGGGAUCGCAAGACCUCGCGCGAUUAGAGCGGCCGAUGCCUGAUUAGCUGGUUGGUGGGGUAAAAGCCCACCAAGGCGACGAUCAGUAGCUGGUCUGAGAGGACGAUCAGCCACACUGGGACUGAGACACGGCCCAGACUCCUACGGGAGGCAGCAGUGGGGAAUUUUGGACAAUGGGGGCAACCCUGAUCCAGCAAUGCCGCGUGAGUGAAGAAGGCCUUCGGGUUGUAAAGCUCUUUUGUCAGGGAAGAGACACCGGCUCUAACACAGUCUGGGAAUGACGGUACCUGAAGAAUAAGCACCGGCUAACUACGUGCCAGCCGCCGCGGUAA
rnacentral:rRNA from 1 species